AUGUCUGGCAGAGCAUUACUCGCCGACAUCAAGGUUCCCACGAUGACGCGGAAGGUGAUGGAGGUCACGGUGCGGCCCGAGAAGAAGAAGCCCCAGCGAGGAGGUGGCGGGGGCCAUCGCUUCACGCGGCACGGCGGGCGCAGGGGACUCAGCCUGGACUAUGAUGAGGAGGACUUUGAGGCCGAUUUCAAGAAGUUCUUGGCCGACUCCAGGGACUAUGACUUCGAGCUCGGGUGUGGUGGGGUGGCCGAGAAGGAUGAUGACUAUGAGGAAGUCGAGAUCAAGCCCUUUGCCGCCAUCAAGAGGUCCCUCUCCGAAGAUGACUUAAGCACCAUGCCUACUGCUGGUUUUGAUGGUCCUGGAGAAAGGUCAGCAAAAAGGAAGAGAAAGAACCAACUCAAGGGUAUUCAUCAGUGCCCCUUGGGUAAGUGGGCUGCUGAAAUCAAAGAUCCUAGCAAGGGUGUCUGUGUCUGGCUCGGUACUUUCAACAGUGCUAAAGAAGCCGCAAGAGCUUAUGAUGCCGAAGCACGCCGAAUCUAUGGUAAGAAGGCCAAGGUUAACUUUCCAGAGGAACCAACAGGAUAUGUCGACUUUGCAUCAAUCCAGCCACUUGUUCCUGCAAUAAACUUUGCCGCCCCUGUUGAAGCUCCUAUUAUGGAUAUGUACUCUGACCAGGGAAGCAACUCUUUUGGCUGCUCUGACUUGGGCUGGGAGUAUGAGACCAAGAGUCUAGAUAUAUCAUCCAUUUGUACCAUUGCCGAAGGAGCAGAAUCUGCGCUUGUCGAGAAUAACACCUACAACUCACUGGUGCCUCCUGUUAUGGAGAAUAAUGCUGCCAGUUCUGAAUCUUGGAUGAGAUAUCUUAUGGAUGAUGAUGUGGAUGAGCUGAUUGAUGGCCUAGUGAAUUUUUAUGAUCAUCAGGAUGUCGUUGGCAACAUGGACCUUUGGAGGUUCGAUGACAUGCCCGUCUUUGGAGACUUU
rnacentral:rRNA from 1 species